CGGAGGGAGCGAGCGUUGUCCGAAGUUACUGGGCGUAAAGCGCGCGUAGGCGGGGAAUUAAGUGAGAAGUGAAAGGCUGGGGCUUAACCCCAUGCAGUGCUUCUCAUACUGGUUCUCUUGAGGGUGGUAGAGAGAAGUGGAAUGGCUGGUGUAGCGGUGAAAUGCGUAGAUAUCAGUCGGAACACCAGUGGCGAAGGCGGCUUCUUGGGCCAUUUCUGACGCUGAGGCGCGAAAGCUAGGGGAGCGAACGGGAUUAGAUACCCCGGUAGUCCUAGCCGUAAACGAUGGAUACUAGGUGUCGGGGGUAUCGACCCCUCCGGUGCCGCAGCUAACGCACUAAGCAUCCCGCCUGGGGAGUACGGCCGCAAGGUUG
rnacentral:rRNA from 1 species